GGCGUCCCGAGGAGCCCAGGACGCGUCAGCAGGUGGCGGAGGUGCCAGGCCGUGGGCACGAGUGUGAAGGGCAACGGGGACAGGGCGGGGAGGCGCCGCCAGCUCCGACCCCCGCCCCGGCUGCCGGUUCCCUGGGGGUGAGAGAGGACUUUGUGCCCAGCGAGGCGCGCGGGCCCUGCCAGCGCACUGGGAGGUCGCGGCCCCGCAGCCAGUGGCGAGGCUGAGGGGACAGCGCGCAGAGCCGCUCCGGGUGCGCAGCGCCCGGCGCCCCUUGCCGCGGGAACGAAACUUGUGCAAUGUCCGCCCAGCGCCGCGGCGGCGGGCUCCCGGGGUGACCUCGUAAGUGAGCGGGCGCGGCUUCCACCCAGGUCACCGCGCCGCGCAGGGGCUGCAGACCCUGGCCUUGGGGCCAUUUCGCAAGCUUCUUGGAAAGUCACUCCUGUCGGUUAGCUGGGACUGCUGUGAACUCUGCCCCACCCCCUGGACACCCACGCUCGAUCGGGCCUGCCCAACUCUACCUGCGCACGCCGGCCAGCAAAUGCCAGUCUGUGCGCCUUCCAGAGCCGGGCUGAACACAGACCCUGGUAGCUCCCCGGUGGACCCAAGCUGUGUUGGUUACCCAGCAGCAGUGCCACCAAGUGGUGGGAGAGACCUGGCAAGAAUUAUGGAUGCCUGCAAAGGACAUACGGGCUUCAAUCUCCCAGCGUUGACCGGACGUGGACAGCACAUAACGCCGCCCGCGUGGGGACUGAGUACAAAUCUACAGCAUCGGGGGCAACCAGUGCUUUGGAGAAUGUCUCUGGGCACCGCCCAGGCUCCUCUCUGGAGGGCUCGGGGUGCGUGACUCCGACUUCAUGGCUUCCAUGCCGUCUCGGGUCCCUUGCCACGUCUCCCACUCUGAAGAUGUCCCCAGAGGUGGGUUUUAACCUGCUCACGUUACAGUAAGGAGACUGUCGAGAGAGAGGCCCCAGCUGACCGGUCCUGUGGGCCAGCUUCAGGCCCCGGGACAGAAGGCAGGUCUGAGAGGCCCUCAGC
rnacentral:lncRNA from 1 species